UAGGAGUAUUGAGUUGGAGAUCAAUGUUCGAGAUAGACUGGCAUAUCUUAUGUAUGCUUGAUGGAGAGGGUGGUAGAUCUCACUAGCCACUUAUAUAUGGGAUACUAAUACAAGGAUGUAGGUGCUUAUUUAGAAAAUAAGUCUACUGAAUUGACUCGAUGAAAGAGAAUAUCUUAUGGAAGCCUUACUUGCAUGUCAAAGAUGGUUCUCUAAAUGAAAGUUGUGCAAGUGAUCCUU
rnacentral:lncRNA from 1 species